UACGAAGGGGGCUAGCGUUGCUCGGAAUCACUGGGCGUAAAGGGCGCGUAGGCGGCGUUUUUUAAGUCGGGGGUGAAAGCCUGUGGCUCAACCACAGAAUGGCCUCGAUACUGGGACGCUUGAGUAUGGUAGAGGUUGGUGGAACUGCGAGUGUAGAGGUGAAAUUCGUAGAUAUUCGCAAGAACACCAGUGGCGAAGGCGGCUCACUGGCCCGAUACUGACGCUGAGGCACGAAAGCGUGGGGAGCAAACAGGG
rnacentral:rRNA from 1 species